rnacentral:miRNA from 1 species
GUGGGGGUUUUUGUGUGUGUGUUUGUUUGUUUGUUUGUUUUUUGCAUUCUUCAAAUUAAGAAUACACACAAACAAACAAACAAACAAACACACACACACACACCACACAC